CUGAGACCUUUCCUAUUUGAGUCUAUUUUUGGAGGCGCGGGGAACUCACUCUCCCCUCAUAGGACAUUAACUCUGAACCUUGAGGACAGCUUACAAAUUCAGGAGCUAAAUUAGGGAGAGAUCAAUACUUGCUCACGCUCCACAUCAGACUGGAAGGCCACCAAUUUCUAACAUCCUUGUCCCAGUGAACAGCAACAGCCACAAGGCAGUUUAAGGAUGGGAUGAGACUGGACUGGCCACUGCUUUCUUCUUCAUGCCAUAUAUCUGCUCCUCUUCAGGGGACAUAACUGUAUUUGUUUAUGAAGGGGAAGAGUGAAGAUCCUCUAUGAAUAGAGUAUACGUUUUAAUGCAGCAGAUAUUUAGAACAGCAACACUAUAGACAUGAUGAAGCCAGAUAUUUCCACAGUGAUUUUUUUUUCUUUUUCAGGAAAUUUUUUCAGUGACAGUGUAAAAUGGGGGAAGUCCUAAUAAACUAUUUCCAUGUCUGAUAUUGCAGUUUUUUUGUUUGUUUGUUUGUUUGUUUUUCUUUUUUUUACUUUCUGGUGUCUUCCAGAGGAUAGCGAGGCCCUACAGAGGGAUCUGGAUAGGCUGGAUAGCUGGGCUAAAGCCAGUGGG
ensembl:lncRNA